GCACCACCGCGUUUACAUUUGUGCGUCUACCUAAUAGGCCUGCACGCGACGCUCGGACGCCACGCGCCACCGCGCGACGGGCGCCGCUCACGCAGACCGCGCACCGCCGAGGCCGCUGCGCCACCACGCGGCGACUCCUCGCUCCGAGUCCCGUCGCCUCCCUCCGCUCUCAUUUUCCCGGCCACCACACGAAAAUGGCGGUGCGUUUCACACCCCCACACGUCAGAAAGUAUCAAGAUGGCGAGAAUAUGACGGAAAUGUGCAAGUUCGCGGAAGAAUGUUCGUGCAAAAUACUUGUCUUGUGUUGCCUGAUAGAAAAAAAAAAAAAAUGCAACCGCACACACAGCCGCGUGCAGCGUGACUUCCGAGAGCAGAACGCGGCCAUAAGUUAACGCUGCUGCAGCUCACACACCCUCCAGCCUCUUAAGGCCGCUGUCUCUGUGUUUCGACGCUUUUCACCGAAGGCAUGUGGAGCUCCUGCCGCGACCGGCCUCGCCGUCUUUCGGUUCUGUCCGGUCCGACCGAGCGGCUCGCUCCGGAGACAACGCCCAGGAGGAGAGGAGCUCGCGACUGCGGGAGCGCGCGCCCCGUUUCCAUGGCGACACGCGGCGCUAGCGGUCGCUCCCUCACGGAGCCGAAACCUUACGCAAUCAGUGGUUUAUUUUUGUUUUCAUCACCGACUAGUUCGAAACGAAUGAUCUUGGCCGUAUAUCAAAGGAGAGCAGUUUCUGUGAGGUUGUGCCUCCAAUUGCUACUUACAGUAAACGUGCUUCUGGGAGCCAUGGCAACAUACGGCAGGGAUGGAGGUGUGGAAGAAGGAAUCACACAGCGCUCCCUUCGGCUUCUCUGUCGGCCAUACUCCGGCCUGAUCAGUUACAUUAAAGUCAGCCAUAUGCGCACAAGCUUCUUCCAUUUCAGCAGUCAUUUGUGUGACUUGAUUCAUGGAUGUGAGCAAGAAGCUUACACCACAAAUCUUUCUGUGCUCAUUAUGGAUGGCAUAAUGGAUUGCCAUUUAAAACUGAAGCUGUAAAAGCUUGUAGGUUGACUGAACUGGAUGCAGACAUUAGAGAGGAUAUAUGGAUGAAGAAGUACAACUGCAAUUGUGCCACAAGGGUUCUGGGAUUUGAGAUGUGUGAUUAAAAAAAAAAGAAGUAAAGGUCUGCCUGUAGUCAUAAAGUAGAGCAUGUCGGGAUUCAUUACAUCAGGAGUACAUCUGGCCGUCUGAGGAGAGGACCACUGCAGGAUUAUGGACUUUGAUUUGUCACAUUGGUGCUACGAGCAGAUAUGGUUGACAGUUCUCUCGGCAGACCCGUAACCCUGCAGACACGGCGUCCGAAACAUCUCA